AUUUCAGUAGUUUAACCAAAAAACACUGGUCUUGUAAACCAGAAAUGAGGAAUACCACCCUCCUGAAAUA
rnacentral:tRNA from 2 species